GAUGAACGCUGGCGGCGUGCCUAAUACAUGCCAGUCGAGCGAACGGACGAGAAGCUUGCUUUUCUGAUGUUAGCGGCGGACGGGUGAGUAACACGUGGAUAACCUACCUAUCAGACUGGGAUAACUUCGGGAAACCGGCGCUAAUCCCGGAUAAUAUUUUGAACCGCAUGGUUCAAAAGUGAAAGACGGUCUUGCUGUCACUUAUAGAUGGAUCCGCGCUGCAUUAGCUAGUUGGUAAGGUAACGGCUUACCAAGGCAACGAGGCAUAGCCGACCGGAGAGAGGGAUAGGCGACACUGGAACGUGGACAGCGACAAGGGUACUAAGAGAGGCAGCAGUAGGCAACGGUCCGCAAUGGUCGAAAGCAUUGCGGAGCAGCGGCGCGUGAGUGAUAAAGGUCUUCGGAUCGUAAAGCUCGGUUAUUAGGGGAGAACAUAUGUCGAAGUAACUGUGCACAUCGUGACGGUACUUAAUCAGAAAGCCACGGCUAACUACGUG
rnacentral:rRNA from 1 species